rnacentral:rRNA from 1 species
AUUUGAUUAUAGAAACAGAUUGAACGCUGGCGGGAUACUUUACACAUGCAAGUCGAACGGCAGCACGGACUUCGGUCUGGUGGCGAGUGGCGAACGGGUGAGUAAUGUAUCGGAACGUGCCUAUUAAUGUAGGGGAUAACACGCGAAAGCGUAGCUAAUACCGCACGCCCUUCGGGGGAAAGCGGGGACCUUCGGGCCUCACUAUUAGAGCAGCCGAUAUCGGAUUAGCUAGUUGAGGUGGGGUAACGGCUCACCGACGACGAUCCGUAGCUGGUUUGAGAGGACGACCAGCCACACUGGGACUGAGACACGAACUCCUACGGGGGGCAGCAGUGGGGAAUUUUGGACAAUGGGGAAACCCUGAUCCAGCCAUCCCGCGUGUGCGAUGAAGGCCUUCGGGUUGUAAAGCACUUUUGGCAGGAAAGAAACGGCACAGGAUAAUACCCCGUGCAACUGACAGUACCUGCAGAAUAAGCACCGGCUAACUACGUGCCAGCAGCCGCGGUAAUACGUAGGGUGCAAGCGUUAAUCGGAAUUACUGGGCGUAAAGCGUGCGCAGGCGGUUCGGAAAGAAAGAUGUGAAAUCCCAGAGCUUAACUUUGGAACUGCAUUUUUAACUACCGAGCUAGAGUGUGUCAGAGAGUGGAAUUCCGCGUGUAGCAGUGAAAUGCGUAGAUAUGCGGAGGAACACCUGAUAAGCGAAGGCAGCCUCCUGGGAUAACACCCCGAGCGCUCAUGCACGAAAGCGUGGGGAGCAAACAGGAUUAGAUACCCUGGUAGUCCACGCCUAAACGAUGUCAACUAGCUGUUUGUGGGGCCUUCGGGCCUUGGUAGCGCAACUAACGUGAAGUUGAGCCGCCUGGGAAGUACGGUCGCAAGAUUAAAACUCAAAGGAAUUGACGGGGACCCGCACAAGCGGUGGAUGAUGUGGAUUAAUUCGAUGCAACGCGAAAAACCUUACUACCACCGGCAGCAUGCGGAAUCCCGAGAUUUGGGAGUGCUCGCAGAACCGGAACACAGGUGCUGCAUGGCUGUCAAUCAAGCUCGUGUCGUGAAUCGUAGGUAAGUCCGCAGCAGGCGCAACCCUUGUCAUUAGUUGCUGCGAGGGCACUCCCUGGACUGCCGACAAACCGGAGGAAGGUGGGGAUGACGUCAAGUCCUCAUGGCCCUUAUCGCGGUGGGGCUUCACGCGUCUCCGCAAUGACGGUCCGGGACCGGGGGGGUCCGUCGGCCGCGGGUAAUCCCAAGAAACCCGAUCGUAGUCCGGAUCGAUCACAACUCGACUGCGUGAAGUCAGAAUCGCUAGUAAUCGCGGAUCAGCAUGUCGCGGUGAAUACGUUCCGGGUCUUGUACCACCGCCCGUCACACCAUGGGAGUGGGUUUACAGAAAUGGUUAGCCUAACCGUAAGGAGGGCGAUUACCACGGUAGGAUUCAUGACUGGGGUGAAGUCGUAACAAGGUAA